GCCCUUUGCCCGCGGAGCAGGAAGCCGCUGCCGGCGCACGGCGGGCGGGAGCGGGCGGCUGCAGGUUUCUGCUGUCAUGCCUGGAGUGACUGUGUGGAGAGUGCGUAGCCACCGAGAGCACUGCAGGAGCAUGAGAAGCUGAAAGUACGGAGAUCUGCACCAGGAUGAGUCCCAUAACCUCCACAGCUUGGUACAGCCAUGGGAGGAAUGUAGAGCUGAGUGGUCACAAGGGAAAAUAAGUAGGCAAGGAUUCCUGGUUGCUGAACCUGAUGUAACUGCACAGAUGGACCAAGGAGAAGAACAACAUCAUGAGGCCUCAAAGGAGACACACAUGGAUGAUGAGCUAGGUCCCCUUCCAAAUCACCUUGCAAGCACAGAUCUGCAGGAUAUGUUGGCAGCAGGAUCCAGAGGAGGAGAGGAACAGUUGGG